GACAAAAAUAGUAACAACUUAUACAACCAGAAACAAACAUAAUACUUUCUUCUCCAUUCAUUAGAUCUAUAUAUCCCACCUUAAAAUAUACCAUUGAAGUUACUGUAGAUUCCUUAUUAUUUGUAGGGUACCUAUUUUCAUGGAUUUCGUGGGUAAAGAUAAACCACCAAUUUAAAUGUUCAACGAAGUAUAAAUUUAGCAAAAGGUUGUAUGCAAACUUUGAAACAACCAUGAAAUAAAGUAUUUAAUGAAAAUAUGAUUUUUCUUCAAUCAAUGAAAAUUGGUAGCUAUGAAAAUAAAUAAAUAAAUCCAC